rnacentral:rRNA from 1 species
GACGUAGGGCGCGAGCGUUGUCCGGAUUUAUUGGGCGUAAAGAGCUCGUAGGCGGCUUGUCGCGUCGUUCGUGAAAACCUGCAGCUCAACUGCAGGCUUGCGGUCGAUACGGGCAGGCUAGAGUUCGGUAGGGGAGACUGGAAUUCCUGGUGUAGCGGUGAAAUGCGCAGAUAUCAGGAGGAACACCGGUGGCGAAGGCGGCUCACUGGCUCGUAACUGACGCUCAUGCACGACAGCGUGGGGAUCAAACAGG